rnacentral:rRNA from 1 species
GGUUAAGCGACUAAGCGUACACGGUGGAUGCCCUGGCAGUCAGAGGCGAUGAAGGACGUGCUAAUCUGCGAAAAGCGUCGGUAAGGUGAUAUGAACCGUUAUAACCGGCGAUGUCCGAAUGGGGAAACCCAGUGCAAUUCGUUGCACUAUCGUUAACUGAAUACAUAGGUUAACGAGGCGAACCGGGGGAACUGAAACAUCUAAGUACCCCGAGGAAAAGAAAUCAACCGAGAUUCCCCCAGUAGCGGCGAGCGAACGGGGAGCAGCCCAGAGUCUGAAUCAGCUUGUGUGUUAGUGGAACGGUCUGGAAAGUCCGACGGUACAGGGUGAUAGUCCCGUACACCAAAAUGCACAGGUUGUGAACUCGAAGAGUAGGGCGGGACACGUGGUAUCCUGUCUGAAUAUGGGGGGACCAUCCUCCAAGGCUAAAUACUCCUGACUGACCGAUAGUGAACCAGUACCGUGAGGGAAAGGCGAAAAGAACCCCGGCGAGGGGAGUGAAAAAGAACCUGAAACCGUGUACGUACAAGCAGUGGGAGCACCUUCGGGUGUGACUGCGUACCUUUUGUAUAAUGGGUCAGCGACUUAUAUUCUGUAGCAAGGUUAACCGUAUAGGGGAGCCGCAGGGAAACCGAGUCUUAACUGGGCGUUAAGUUGCAGGGUAUAGACCCGAAACCCGGUGAUCUAGCCAUGGGCAGGUUGAAGGUUGGGUAACACUAACUGGAGGACCGAACCGACUAAUGUUGAAAAAUUAGCGGAUGACUUGUGGCUGGGGGUGAAAGGCCAAUCAAACCGGGAGAUAGCUGGUUCUCCCCGAAAGCUAUUUAGGUAGCGCCUCGUGAAUUCAUCUUCGGGGGUAGAGCACUGUUUCGGCUAGGGGGUCAUCCCGACUUACCAACCCGAUGCAAACUACGAAUACCGAAGAAUGUUAUCACGGGAGACACACGGCGGGUGCUAACGUCCGUCGUGAAGAGGGAAACAACCCAGACCGCCAGCUAAGGUCCCAAAGUCAUGGUUAAGUGGGAAACGAUGUGGGAAGGCACAGACAGCCAGGAUGUUGGCUUAGAAGCAGCCAUCAUUUAAAGAAAGCGUAAUAGCUCACUGGUCGAGUCGGCCUGCGCGGAAGAUGUAACGGGGCUAAACCAUGCACCGAAGCUGCGGCAGCGACACUAUGUGUUGUUGGGUAGGGGAGCGUUCUGUAAGCCUGCGAAGGUGACCUGUGAGGGUUGCUGGAGGUAUCAGAAGUGCGAAUGCUGACAUAAGUAACGAUAAAGCGGGUGAAAAGCCCGCUCGCCGGAAGACCAAGGGUUCCUGUCCAACGUUAAUCGGGGCAGGGUGAGUCGACCCCUAAGGCGAGGCCGAAAGGCGUAGUCGAUGGGAAACAGGUUAAUAUUCCUGUACUUGGUGUUACUGCGAAGGGGGGACGGAGAAGGCUAUGUUAGCCGGGCGACGGUUGUCCCGGUUUAAGCAUGUAGGCUGGUUGUCCAGGCAAAUCCGGAUAAUCAAGGCUGAGGUGUGAUGACGAGGCACUACGGUGCUGAAGUAACAAAUGCCCUGCUUCCAGGAAAAGCCUCUAAGCAUCAGGUAACAUCAAAUCGUACCCCAAACCGACACAGGUGGUCAGGUAGAGAAUACCAAGGCGCUUGAGAGAACUCGGGUGAAGGAACUAGGCAAAAUGGUGCCGUAACUUCGGGAGAAGGCACGCUGGUGUGUAGGUGAAGUCCCUGCGGAUGGAGCUGAGACCAGUCGAAGAUACCAGCUGGCUGCAACUGUUUAUUAAAAACACAGCACUGUGCAAACACGAAAGUGGACGUAUACGGUGUGACGCCUGCCCGGUGCCGGAAGGUUAAUUGAUGGGGUUAUCCGUAAGGAGAAGCUCUUGAUCGAAGCCCCGGUAAACGGCGGCCGUAACUAUAACGGUCCUAAGGUAGCGAAAUUCCUUGUCGGGUAAGUUCCGACCUGCACGAAUGGCGUAAUGAUGGCCAGGCUGUCUCCACCCGAGACUCAGUGAAAUUGAACUCGCUGUGAAGAUGCAGUGUACCCGCGGCAAGACGGAAAGACCCCGUGAACCUUUACUAUAGCUUGACACUGAACAUUGAGCCUUGAUGUGUAGGAUAGGUGGGAGGCUUUGAAGCGUGGACGCCAGUCUGCGUGGAGCCAACCUUGAAAUACCACCCUUUAAUGUUUGAUGUUCUAACGUUGGCCCCUUACCGGGGUUGCGGACAGUGUCUGGUGGGUAGUUUGACUGGGGCGGUCUCCUCCCAAAGCGUAACGGAGGAGCACGAAGGUUAGCUAAUCCUGGUCGGACAUCAGGAGGUUAGUGCAAUGGCAUAAGCUAGCUUGACUGCGAGCGUGACGGCGCGAGCAGGUGCGAAAGCAGGUCAUAGUGAUCCGGUGGUUCUGAAUGGAAGGGCCAUCGCUCAACGGAUAAAAGGUACUCCGGGGAUAACAGGCUGAUACCGCCCAAGAGUUCAUAUCGACGGCGGUGUUUGGCACCUCGAUGUCGGCUCAUCACAUCCUGGGGCUGAAGUAGGUCCCAAGGGUAUGGCUGUUCGCCAUUUAAAGUGGUACGCGAGCUGGGUUUAGAACGUCGUGAGACAGUUCGGUCCCUAUCUGCCGUGGGCGCUGGAGAAUUGAGGGGGGCUGCUCCUAGUACGAGAGGACCGGAGUGGACGCAUCACUGGUGUUCGGGUUGUCAUGCCAAUGGCACUGCCCGGUAGCUAAAUGCGGAAGAGAUAAGUGCUGAAAGCAUCUAAGCACGAAACUUGCCCCGAGAUGAGUUCUCCCUGAGACUUUAAGUCUCCUGAAGGAACGUUAAAGACGAUGACGUUGAUAGGCCGGGUGUGUAAGCGCAGCGAUGCGUUGAGCUAACCGGUACUAAUGAACCGUGAGGCUUAACCUUACAACGCCGAAGAUGUUUUG